UAGCUCCUCCGGGGCCAGUCCCCUGCCUGAGGGGCCCUGCUUGCACCACAGGCCAGGCUUCCUCACCUGCGGCUUCUUAGCCUUUGCCCCUUCCUCGUUUUUUUUUCUCCGCACGUGUUGAGAGUUUUCCUCAAGUUUAGUAUUUAAGCAGAAAGCGUACGCGCAGCUGUGAGGCGAAAGCGCAGAGCUCAUUCUAUAAAGGAAGGGCCUCUGCGGUGGAGCUGAGUGUGUCUUCAGAACACCUCUGGAGAUUGGACAAUUCACAGCCCGGUACGUCUACAUCUUAGCCCAAAUCUCUUGCUGCUUCCAGUCCUGUGUCCUUGCCGUCCCCAAGCUCGUGGCCUCUGCUCUUCCUCUUCCACACCCACCUAGCUCUGCAGCCUCCGCCCCAUGACUUCUGCUUCAGGGAUGACCUGUUACUGGGGCAGACUUAUGUACUGCCGGAAACAACUAGACCACAGACAAAAUACGGAGAAUGAUCUUCAGACAGCGGGCAGCAGGCAGCGCUGGGGCAUAAUCCGGGAGAGAACAGAAAUGAAUGAGGGGUGCAGACCAAGUCCAAAUUCAUUCAAAAUCUCUCCUGGAGGCAUCCCCCACAAACAGGGGAGAAUGGGAGAAGAAUUUUGGAUAAACAAAUAUGCUAAUAAAAAAUAAACACCAGUGUGGGGAGCAACUCGGACUAUACUGUUACUGGAAUUAAGACUUAUUCUAUGCAUCUGCUCUCCCACAAUAUGGCGCUGGGAGAGGAGAAAAUAGCUUCUACGCAGCUGCCUCCAGUUCAACCAAUAAACUGUAGGACCUACUCCUGAUUGGAGGAGAGCAGCGUACUCGGCAUGUGGGCAGCCGAGUUAGGAUUGGCGGAGGAGGACUAUAAAGGAGGAGAGAGACGGCAUGCACCAGGAACAUCUAUGGGGAACAUCUAGCUGAAGGAACACCUGUGCAGCCCCCGAGAAGAGCCGGCCGGCGGUGUGCCGCUCCCCUGCGGAAGUGGGGAAUGCGGCCAGGGGGAACUGCCCUUCCACGGAGGUGGAAGGGAUGGUGGCCAGCCCGGGAAGAACCAGCAGCAAACCCGGGGAGGGCCGAGCAGACAGAAAGAACAGCGCAGGGUCCUGUGUCGUUCCUCCACGAAGACGGGGAGCGACAUAGUGGUGCCGUGAC